AUUCUGACCUUCCACUGUGCAGAGAACAGACCUGCCAGAGAGCCUUGCUAUUUUUACUUCACUGCGAGGGGAUCUCAGGUUACAAAUUAUAUACGGAUGAGAUUUGAGGAGCGAGUCAUUGUGGGUAGACCUGGUUUGGUUGGACAGGAGAAAUGAGCCCAUUUACUUCCCACCAAGAACAUGAAGAGGCUUCUGACCAGCAGAAAAAGCUGAGGAUUGGUGGCACUGAAUGAACACAUGUAAUGCCCCCGUCCUUGCUUUGAGAGCUUAUGCUCUCACUGUCUUGAAUAACGAGUACCUCGAGUAACCACAGAGUCUCAUCUAGACCCCUUUACCCCAUGCCUGAUGCAGUCCCCUUUUUUUCUGUCCAGUCCAAAGGAGCUCAGUGGGGCCCUGAACCCUAACUCUUAUGGAAUACAUUUGAUAUUUGAGAAUCAAUGAAUAAGGGCUACAGUAAGAUUCAAUCCUGGCCAAUAAAUUACCAACUGAAGAUA
rnacentral:lncRNA from 1 species